rnacentral:rRNA from 1 species
UACGUAGGGUGCAAGCGUUGUCCGGAAUUAUUGGGCGUAAAGAGCUCGUAGGCGGUCUGUCGCGUCGGCUGUGAAAACUCGGGGCUCAACCCCGAGCCUGCAGUCGAUACGGGCAGACUAGAGUGCGGUAGGGGAGACUGGAAUUCCUGGUGUAGCGGUGAAAUGCGCAGAUAUCAGGAAGAACACCGGUGGCGAAGGCGGCUCUCUGGGCCUUACCUGACGCUGAGGAGCGAAAGCGUGGGUAGCGAACAGG